CAGUGCCGCGGUAAAACGAAGGGUGCAAGCGUUACUCGGAAUUACUGGGCGUAAAGCGUGCGUAGGCGGUGAGUUAAGUCUGCUGUGAAAUCCCCGGGCUCAACCUGGGAAUGGCAGUGGAUACUGGCUCGCUAGAGUGUGUCAGAGGAUGGUGGAAUUCCCGGUGUAGCGGUGAAAUGCGUAUAGAUCGGGAGGAACAUCAGUGGCGAAGGCGGCCAUCUGGGACAACACUGACGCUGAGGCACGAAAGCGUGGGGAGCAAACAGGAUUAGAGACCCGCGUAGUCCCUGUCUCUUAUACA
rnacentral:rRNA from 1 species